CCUACGGGAGGCAGCAGUGGGGGAUAUUGGACAAUGGGGGGAACCCUGAUCCAGCGACGCCGCGUGAGUGAAGAAGUAUCUCGGUAUGUAAAGCUCUAUCAGCAGGGAAGAAGAAAUGACGGUACCUGAGUAAGAAGCCCAGGCUAACUACGUGCCAGCAGCCGCGGUAAUACGUAGGGGGCAAGCGUUAUCCGGAAUUACUGGGUGUAAAGGGAGCGUAGACGGUGAUGUAAGUCUGGAGUGAAAGGCGGGGGCCCAACCCCCGGACUGCUCUGGAAACUAUGUGACUGGAGUGCAGGAGAGGUGAGCGGAAUUCCUGGUGUAGCGGUGAAAUGCGUAGAUAUCAGGAGGAACACCGGUGGCGAAGGCGGCCUGCUGGACUGCAACUGACGUUGAGGCCCGAAAGCGUGGGGAGCAAACAGGAUUAGAUACCCCAGUAGUC
rnacentral:rRNA from 1 species